rnacentral:rRNA from 1 species
CAUGUAGGCGGUUUUGUAAGUCUGGUGUGAAAGACCACAGCUUAACUGUGGGAACGCACUGGAAACUGUGAAACUAGAAUCAGUGAGGGGUAACCGGAAUUCCUAGUGUAGGGGUGAAAUCUGUUGAUAUUAGGAAGAACACCGAUGGCGAAGGCAGGUUACUGGGCGCAUGAUUGACGCUGAUGUGCGAAAGCGUAGGGAGCGAACA